rnacentral:rRNA from 1 species
GUAAGCACGCGAUGACCCGCCGAUAUCCGAAUGGGGAAACCCCUCCGCUCAAGAAGCGGAGACCGCAUGACGACCGUCAUGACGGGGCAAUACGCAGGGAACUGAAACAUCUAAGUACCUGCAGGAAGAGAAAGAGAAGUCGAUUCCGCAAGUAGCGGCGAGCGAAAGCGGAGGAGCCCAAACCGGACAUAGUCCGGGGUUGUAGGACCGCCGGUAAAGAUGACAUGAAGAGUCAGGAGAAUCCCAUGGGAAGGGGAUCCGAAGAGGGUGAGAGACCCGUAUCCGAAGGCUCGACAUGGAUCGAGGCGGCACCUGAGUACGGCGGGGCACGUGGAAUCCUGCCGGAAUCAUCGGGGACCAUCCCGAAAGGCUAAACACUACUCUGUGACCGAUAGCGAACCAGUACCGUGAGGGAAAGGUGAAAAGAACCCCGGGAGGGGAGUGAAAGAGAACCUGAAACCGCAUGCCCACAAGAAGUCAGAGCCCGUCAAAGGGUGAUGGCGUGCCUUUUGUAGAAUGAGCCGGCGAGUCACGAUCAGCAGGCGAGGUUAAGCAGGAGAUGCGGAGCCGCAGCGAAAGCGAGUCUUAACAGGGCGGAAUAGUCUGAGGUCGUGGACCCGAAACCGGGUGAUCUAGCCAUGAGCAGGUUGAAGUCGGGGUAAGACCCGAUGGAGGACCGAACCGACCCCCGUUGAAACGUUGGCGGAUGACUUGUGGCUAGGGGGGAAAUUCCAAUCGAACCCGGAGAUAGCUGGUUCUCCCCGAAAUAGCUUUAGGGCUAGCGUCGCAGCGAGAGAGCCGUGAAGGUAGAGCACUGAAUAUGCGAUGGCCGCAUCCCGCGGUACUGAGCAUAAUCAAACUCCGAAUGUCACGGUGUCAUCUGCGGCAGUCAGACGGCGAGUGAUAAGGUCCGUCGUCAAGAGGGAAACAGCCCAGACCAUCAGCUAAGGUCCCAAAGUGCAUGCUAAGUGGAAAAGGAAGUGGAGACGUGCAGACAACUAGGAGGUUGGCUCAGAAGCAGCCAUCCUUCAAAGAGUGCGUAACAGCUCACUAGUCGAAUGACUCUGCGCCGAUAAUUUACCGGGGCUAAGCAUGACACCGAAGCUAUGGACAGGAAUGUGGUAGGGGAGCAUUGCAUGCAGCGGAGAAGCAUGACCGGGAGGGCAUGUGGAGCGCAUGGAAGAGAGAAUGCCGGCGUGAGUAGCGGCACGUGGGUGAGAAUCCCACGCACCGAUGGCCCAAGGUCUCCAGAGGAAGGCUCGUCCUCUCUGGGAUAGUCGGGACCUAAGGCGAGGCCGAAAGGCGUAGCCGAUGGACGACGGGUGGAUAUUCCCGUACCCGAUGUGUGGCGAUGGAGUGACGGAGAAGGCUCAGGCAACCAGCUGGUGGAAUAGCUGGGGCAAGCGAGAUACCUGCGCACCAGGGAAAUCCGGUGCGCAUAAGGGGAAGGCGCGAUGCAUACGGAAAGCUUCGGCAAGUACGGAAAAGCUGAGAGCAGGCUUCCAGGAAAAGCUUCUAGCACAACACACAUCGGCCCGUACCGAAAAUGGACACACAUGGGCAAGGAGAGAAUCCUGAGGUGAGCGAGAGAACUAUAGCUAAGGAACUCUGCAAAAUGACUCCGUAACUUAGGGAGAAGGAGUGCUCAAGAUAUGAGCCGCAGUGAAACGGCCCAAGCGACUGUUUACCAAAAACACAGCUCUCUGCGAAGGCGCAAGCCGAAGUAUAGGGGGUGACGCCUGCCCGGUGCUGGAAGGUCAAGGGGAGCUGUCAGCGCAAGCGAAGCAGCGAGCCGAAGCCCCAGUAAACGGCGGCCGUAACUAUAACGGUCCUAAGGUAGCGAAAUUCCUUGUCGGGCAAGUUCCGACCCGCACGAAAGGCGUAACGAUUUGGGCGCUGUCUCAGCUGUAGACUCGGUGAAGUCUUAGUACCUGUGAAGAUGCAGGUUGCCCGCGACUAGACGGAAAGACCCCAUGGAGCUUCACUGCAGGUUGACAUUGGGCUUGGAUGCAUGAUGUACAGGAUAGGUGGGAGGCUGUGAGCCGUGCGCGCCAGCGUACGGGGAGCCGCUGUUGGGAUACCACCCUUCAUGCAUCUAGGUCCUAACCGGAGGCAACGGGC